GGCACAGACGGUUGAUUAAGUCUGAUGUGAAAGCCCGGAGCUCAACUCCGGAAUGGCAUUGGAAACUGGUUAACUUGAGUGCAGUAGAGGUAAGUGGAACUCCAUGUGUAGCGGUGGAAUGCGUAGAUAUAUGGAAGAACACCAGUGGCGAAGGCGGCUUACUGGACUGUAACUGACGUUGAGGCUCGAAAGUGUGGUAGCAAACA
rnacentral:rRNA from 1 species